AUUGAACGCUGGCGGCAGGCCUAACACAUGCAAGUCAAGCGGAUGAAGGGAGCUUGCUCCUGGAUUCAGCGGCGGACGGGUGAGUAAUGCCUAGGAAUCUGCCUGGUAGUGGGGGAUAACGUCCGGAAACGGGCGCUAAUACCGCAUACGUCCUGAGGGAGAAAGUGGGGGAUCUUCGGACCUCACGCUAUCAGAUGAGCCUAGGUCGGAUUAGCUAGUUGGUGGGGUAAAGGCCUACCAAGGCGACGAUCCGUAACUGGUCUGAGAGGAUGAUCAGUCACACUGGAACUGGGACACGGUCCAGACUCCUACGGGAGGCAGCAGUGGGGAAUAUUGGACAAUGGGCGAAAGCCUGAUCCAGCCAUGCCGCGUGUGUGAAGAAGGUCUUCGGAUUGUAAAGCACUUUAAGUUGGGAGGAAGGGCGGUAAGUUAAUACCUUGCUGUUUUGACGUUACCAACAGAAUAAGCACCGGCUAACUUCGUG
rnacentral:rRNA from 1 species